rnacentral:rRNA from 1 species
GAGUUUGAUCCUGGCUCAGAAUGAACGUUGGCGGCGUGUUUAGGCAUGCAAGUCGAACGCGUGUAGCAAUACACGAGUGGCGAAAGGGACAGUAACACGUAGAUACGUACCCUCCGGCCUGGGAUAGUCCGUCGAAAGACGGGGUAAUACCAGAUAACGUCUCCGGACCAAAGGUGUGAUUCCACCGGUGGAGCGGUCUGCGUCCUAUUAGCUUGUUGGUGGGGUGAUGGCCUACCAAGGCAAUGAUGGGUAGCGGGUGUGAGAGCACGACCCGCGUCACUGGGACUGAGACACUGCCCAGACACCUACGGGUGGCUGCAGUCGAGGAUCUUCGGCAAUGGACGCAAGUCUGACCGAGCGACGCCGCGUGCGGGAUGAAGGCUUUCGGGUUGUAAACCGCUGUCAGUGGGGAGGAAAUCUAGGUGGGUACUCUCAUCUAGUUGACCUAUCCGCAGAGGAAGCAAGGGCUAAGUUCGUGCCAGCAGCCGCGGUAAGACGAACCUUGCUAACGUUAUUCGGAAUUACUGGGCUUAAAGGGUGCGUAGGCGGUGCCGGAAAGUCGGGUGUGAAAUCCCCCACUCAACUGGGGAAUUGCGCCUGAAACUACCGUACUCGAGGAAAGCAGAGGUACCCGGAACUUAGGGUGGAGCGGGAAAUGCGUUGAUAUCCUAAGGAACACCGGUGGCGA